CACUGUGGAAUUCGCCCUUAGUUGAUCCUGGCUCAGGAUGAACGCUGGCGGUAUGCCUAACACAUGCAAGUCGAACGGAAUCUUCGGAUUCAGUGGCGGACGGGUGAGUAACGCGUGAGAAUCUGCCUUCAGGAUGGGGACAACAGUGAGAAAUCGCUGCUAAAACCCAAUGUGCCGAGAGGUGAAAUACUUGUAGCCUGAAGAGGAGCUCGCGUCCGAUUAGUUAGUUGGUGGGGUAAGAGCCUACCAAGGCAGCGAUCGGUAGCUGGUCUGAGAGGAUGAGCAGCCACACUGGGACUGAGACACGGCCCAGACUCCUACGGGAGGCAGCAGUGGGGAAUUUUCCGCAAUGGGCGAAAGCCUGACGGAGCAAUACCGCGUGAGGGAGGAAGGUUUUUGGAUUGUAAACCUCUUUUGUUAAGGAAGAAGAAAGUGACGGUACUUAACGAAUAAGCAUCGGCUAACUCCGUGCCAGCAGCCGCGGUAAUACGGAGGAUGCAAGCGUUAUCCGGAAUCAUUGGGCGUAAAGCGUCCGCAGGUGGUUAAUCAAGUCUGCUGCUAAAGACAGAAGCUCAACUUCUGAUAGGCAGUGGAAACUGGGUAACUAGAGUAUGGUAGGGGUUGAGGGAAUUCCCAGUGUAGCGGUGAAAUGCGUAGAUAUUGGGAAGAACACCAGUGGCGAAGGCGCUCAACUGGGCCAUAACUGACACUCAGGGACGAAAGCUAGGGUAGCGAAAGGGAUUAGAUACCCCUGUAGUCUUAGCUGUAAACGAUGAACACUAGGCGUUGCUUGUAUCGACCCGAGCAGUGCCGUAGCCAACGCGUUAAGUGUUCCGCCUGGGGAGUACGCACGCAAGUGUGAAACUCAAAGGAAUUGACGGGGGCCCGCACAAGCGGUGGAGUAUGUGGUUUAAUUCGAUGCAACGCGAAGAACCUUACCAGGACUUGACAUCUCGAGAAGUUCGCCUCAUAGCGAAUGUGCCUUAGGGAACUCGAAGACAGGUGGUGCAUGGCUGUCGUCAGCUCGUGUCGUGAGAUGUUGGGUUAAGGCCCGCAACGAGCGCAACCCUCGUUCUUAGUUGCCAGCAUUAAGUUGGGCACUUUAGGAAGACUGCCGGUGACAAACCGGAGGAAGGUGGGGAUGACGUCAGGUCAGCAUGCCCCUUACGUUCUGGGCUACACACGUACUACAAUGGUUGGGACAAAGGGCAGCGAGCGAGUAAUCGUAAGCGAAUCUCAUCAAACCCAGCCUCAGUUCAGAUUGCAGGCUGCAACUCGCCUGCAUGAAGGAGGAAUCGCUAGUAAUCGCAGGUCAGCAUACUGCGGUGAAUUCGUUCCCGGGCCUUGUACACACCGCCCGUCACACCAUGGAAGUUGGCCACGCCCGAAGUCGUUACCCUAACCGUUCGCGGAGGGGGAUGCCGAAGGCAGGGCUGGUGACUAGGGUGAAGUCGUAACAAGGUAGCCGUACCGGAAGGUGUGGCUGGAUCACCUCCU
rnacentral:rRNA from 1 species